rnacentral:rRNA from 1 species
AACGAACGCUGGCGGCAGGCUUAACACAUGCAAGUCGAGCGCCUCGCAAGAGGAGCGGCAGACGGGUGAGUAACGCGUGGGAAUCUACCCAUCUCUACGGAACAACAGUUGGAAACGACUGCUAAUACCGUAUACGCCCUUCGGGGGAAAGAUUUAUCGGAGAUGGAUGAGCCCGCGUUGGAUUAGCUAGUUGGUGGGGUAAAGGCCUACCAAGGCGACGAUCCAUAGCUGGUCUGAGAGGAUGAUCAGCCACACUGGGACUGAGACACGGCCCAG